UUACGGCCAUAUCGCGUUGAAACGCUGGAUCCCGUACGAUCAUCGAAGUUAAGCAAUUUCUAUCCUGGUUAUUAUCUAGAUGGGUGACAACUUAGGAAUACCAUGUGUUGUAA